AGGGAAUCUUCCACAAUGGACGCAAGUCUGAUGGAGCAACGCCGCGUGAGUGAAGAAGGCUUUCGGGUCGUAAAACUCUGUUAUUGAAGAAGAACGUGUGUGACAGUAACUGGUCAUGCAGUGACGGUAUUCAAUCAGAAAGUCACGGCUAACUACGUGCCAGCAGCCGCGGUAAUACGUAGGUGGCAAGCGUUGUCCGGAUUUAUUGGGCGUAAAGCGAGUGCAGGCGGUCUUUUAAGUCUGAUGUGAAAGCCUUCGGCUUAACCGAAGAAGGGCAUCGGAAACUGGGAGACUUGAGUGCAGAAGAGGAGAGUGGAACUCCAUGUGUAGCGGUGAAAUGCGUAGAUAUAUGGAAGAACACCAGUGGCGAAGGCGGCUCUCUGGUCUGUAACUGACGCUGAGGCUCGAAAGCGUGGGUAGCAAACA
rnacentral:rRNA from 1 species